UAAACUUGCUUUGACUUAUCAGGGCUCAUCGUGUUCAGCUUCUCAAAAUGAGGUUCCCUGCUCAGCUCCUGGGACUCAUCAUGCUCUGGAUCCCAGGAUCCAGUGGGGAUAUUGUGAUGACGCAGACCCCUCUGUCCCUGCCCAUCACCCCUGGAGAGCCAGCCUCAAUCUCCUGCAGGGCCAGUCAGAGCCUCCUGCACAGUAAUGGAAACACCUAUUUAAGUUGGUACCUGCAGAAGCCAGGCCAGUCUCCACGGCUCCUGAUCUAUAAGGUUUCCAACCGGGCCUCUGGGGUCCCAGACAGGUUCAGUGGCAGCGGGUCAGGGACAGAUUUCACUCUGAGAAUCAGCAGGGUGGAGGCUGACGACGUCGGUGUUUAUUACUGCGGUCAAGCUUUACAGUAUCCGUGGACGUUUGGCCAAGGAACCAAGCUGGAAAUCAAACGGAGUGAUGCUCAGCCAUCUGUCUUUCUCUUCCAACCAUCUCUGGACGAGUUACAUACAGGAAGUGCCUCUAUCGUGUGCAUAUUGAAUGACUUCUACCCCAAAGAGGUCAAUGUCAAGUGGAAAGUGGAUGGCGUUGUCCAAAACAAAGGCAUCCAGGAGAGUACCACAGAGCAGAACAGCAAGGACAGCACCUACAGCCUCAGCAGCACCCUGACGAUGUCCAGUACAGAGUACCAAAGUCAUGAAAAUUUCUCCUGCGAGGUCACUCACAAGAGCCUGGCCUCCACCCUCGUCAAGAGCUUCAACAGGAGCGAGUGUCAGAGAGAGUAGCCUAGCAGGCCUCAUCAACUGCGCCUCAGUCCCAGACUCUCUGUCUCCCUCCUCAGGCCUCCGGACCUUUCCCCAUCGGAGACCCACACCUAUUGCAGGCCCUUGUCCCCACCUUACUGCCUCCCCCUCUUUGGCUUUAAUCAUGCUAAUAAUAUUUGGGGGGAAAUGAAUAAAGUGAAUCUUUGCACCA